UUUCACCGCGGGAGAGCCGUUACCGGAGCAGCAGAUAACCAGCUCCGCUUCCGCUGCUAUUAAUAACGCUGAUGACAUUCACUGCUGGAGAUAGACGGAACCGUCCUCUGCACUCUGAUAUGCACCGCCGUAUAGAUGGUAAACACGGAACAUAGACGGUACCGCGAAGAUAACUGAACACGAAUUGUUCUGUAGAGGCUUCAGAAAAUGAACGGUACCGUAGAGACAACCGAACUAAAACAGAGACAUCAGAAUCUGGACGCACCAUAUAGACACCGUUACAAAGACGGUGCCUUUAAGUCAUUCCAGCAUACACGUUAGCCGUUAGCUGUUAGUCAAAGUGAAACACACACAGGUAACUUUACGUUAGACUGGCUGGGCCAUCCAGGCUAACUUUACGUUACCGGAAAUGAGCAGAGAUGUAACACACCCGCUUGUCCGUCAGGUGUGACACAGUUAGUCAGGUUAGCAUGUUUGUGUUGAGGUAAAUAAAAGUGAAAUUGUUGUGUUCAUGUGUACAUUAUACAGGUAGAUAGAUUCAGGUGUUCUAGUGUUCAUCCUCCACCUGGGGCCUGUUUGCCUCUUUUCUCGCUCAGUGUCUCAGGUAUGAUAUUAACAGUUGACAAUAUUUUUCAUUUUCCCAUCUUUACAGCUUAACACCUGCACACCUGAAUUAAAUGAAACAGUUUAAACUAACUAUUAAUGUUUUUAUUGGUGUAGGCCUGAUAUACAUUAGUGAUGGGAAGAACUGUCCUUUUGACUGUACUGAAUCUUUAGAAUCCGUUCAUUAAAACAAUUUGUUCAAAUGAUUCGUUCACAGAAUCAGUCAGCGCUUCGGAGCCCCGUCCUGCCGGUGCAGUAAACCACUAGGUGACACAGCGGCGAGUUUGUUCAUUGAACAAGCCCCUCCCCUGCUGCUGAAGUCACAGCGUCGUUCACUGGGUGACACAUGUCGUUCAUUUGCCAAGUCCUGAAGGAAGUAUCACUCCCCUGUAGUGCUGGGCGAUAUGGAAAAAAAUGUAUAUCACGAUAUGGAUCAUUUUAUAUCACGAUAACGAUAUAUAUCACGAUAUAGCUAUGGUAUGCUUUCAGUUCUAUGAAAAAUUAAAGUGUAUACAGCUGCCCUAGUACAGUGCCAGUACAAGACCAGCACUUAAAACUAGAAAAAUGAAUAAAUAAAUAUGUGGCUGAAGUGCGUUCAUGUCUGUGCUCACCCAAAGUUAUGCAACACUCACAGAAAACGCCAAUAGUGUGAGCCAAAGCACUCCAUAAUAAUAAUAAUAAUAAUAAUAAUAAUAAUAAUAAUAAUAAUAAUAAUAAUAAUAAUAAAUUUAAUUUGUAAUGCGCUUUACAUUUACAAAAAAUCUCAAAGUGCUACAGUACCCAGUAAAAAAAGAGCAGCGACAACAAAAAAAGCAAUAGAAUGACAGUCACAGAUUAGCAUAAAAAAGAAUUUAAAAAAUUAAUAAUAUUUAGAGUUGCAAUGUAAGAGGCAAGGUAGUAAGAAAACUAACCAAAGGCUUUAUUAAAAAGGUAGGUCUUUAGGGCUCUUUUGAAGAGGUUGUUCACACUGCUAGAUGUUUCUCCUCCAAAGCUGCUCUCUGCCUCCAUCAUUGUUUACUUUACUCUUGAAGCACGUAGGAAGACCCGAGCAUGAAUCCGAGCGCUUUAUUCGCCUAUCAGGGGCAGACAGGUAAGGUUAGUGCUGGGCGAUAUGGAAAAAAAUGUAUAUCACGAUAUGGAUCAUUUUAUAUCACGAUAACGAUAUAUAUCACGAUAUAGCUAUGGUAUGCUUUCAGUUCUAUGAAAAAUUUAAGUGUAUACAGCUGCACUAGUACAGUACCAGUACAAGACCAGCACUUAAAACUAGAAAAAUGAAUAAACAAAUACGUGGCUGAAGUGCGUUCAUGUCUGUGCUCACCCAAAGUUAUGUAACACUUACAGAAAACGCUGAUGGUGUGAGCCGAAGCACUCCAUAAUAAUAAUAAUAAUAAUAAUAAUAAUAAAUUUAAUUUGUAAUGCACUUUACAUUUACAAAAAAAUCUCAAAGUGCUACAGUACACAGUAAAAAAAGAGCAGCAACAAUAAAAAAAAAGCAAUAGAAUGACAGUCACAGAUUAGCAUAAAAAAGAAUUUAAAAAAAAUAAAAUAUAUAGAGUUGCAAUGUAAGAGGCAAGGUAGUAAAAGCAUAAAGCAUAGAGGAAAACUAACCAAAGGCUUUAUUAAAAAGGUAGGUCUUUAGGGCUCUUUUGAAGAGGUUGUUCACACUGCUAGAUGUUUCUCCUCCAAAGCUGCUCUCUGCCUCCAUCAUUGUUUACUUUACUCUUGAAGCACGUAGCAAGACCCGAGCAUGAAUCCGAGCGCUUUAUUCGCCUAUCAGGGGCAGACAGGUAAGGUGAUUUGAUUCGCCACGACUCCAGAAAUGAUUGAAAAACUACAGAAUGUCACAAAAUUACGUUUCCUCGCUGCUGGCUUGAAGGGUACAAAUGCGCAGCCGCGCUCCCAGCUGACAGGAAGUCAAACCGCUGUUGUAGUUCUUUUGUGUUGCUAGCGCGGUCAAGAGUGUUUACUCUCACUGAGAGAUGACUACAAAAAUGGACGCACCUGUUCAUCUGGUUGUUAAACACGGCUGAAAAAGAUCAUCUUUUCAUGUUGUUCCCGCUCCUGCCCACUCCCGUUGCUUUUUUUCCCGUCCCGUCCCGAUCAAGAGAUUAAUAAAACAAUGACUCCCAUCCCGCGGGAAUCACGUGACCCACGGGAAUUCCCGAAAAAAGUCAUCCUCCACAGGGAAGGUCCCGGAGCAGAUGAAACAGGUGCCGGAGCGGCUGAAAUAGGUCCCAGAUCCGAUCAAAAGAGGUCCCGGAUCGCGCUCCGACUUGCUCCGGCACAAAUUAAGCACUGCUUACAAUGAUCCCCUCACGUGUGUAACCCAGGUAACCCGCAACGGCGGGAGGCGCUGGACAUAAAGAGGGCACGUAAAGCGGCGUCAUGUCGCAAAAUCGAAAGAGAAAUGCAAGCCUACAUGUCAACGCAUCCUUUUCUUUGUAAGAAAAUAUUGUUUUCUUUCCCGUUCGACACCAAAUACAC
rnacentral:lncRNA from 1 species